rnacentral:rRNA from 1 species
AAUGAACGUUGGCGGCGUGGAUUAGGCAUGCAAGUCGUACGGGUCGGUGUAGCAAUACAACGGCAAGUGGCGAAAGGGAGAGUAACACGUAGAUACCUACCCUCUGGUCGGGGAUACCGCGGCAUAACCGCAAGUAAUACCCGAUAAAAUCUCCGGAUCAAAGGUGUGAUUCCGCCGGAGGAGGGGUCUGCGUUCUACCAGCUUGUUGGUGAGGUAAUGGCUCACCAAGGCUAAGACGGAUACGGGGUGUGAGAGCAUGCCCCCGCUCACUGGGACUGGGACACUGCCCAGACACCUACGGGUGGCUGCAGUCGAGAAUCUUCGGCAAUGGGCGCAAGCCUGACCGAGCGACGCCGCGUGCGGGAUGAAGGCCUUCGGGUUGUAAACCGCUGUCGAGGGGAAUGAAGUGUAGGUGGGUACUCCCAUCUAUUUGACAGAUCCCUGGAGGAAGCAUGGGCUAAGUUCGUGCCAGCCGCCGCGGUAAGAC